rnacentral:lncRNA from 1 species
AUGCGAUCCGGCUGCUUGGCCGGUAGCCUGCCACGCGGGGGCGGGACCCCGAGUCGAGCGGGAGCGGCCCGGCGGUUAGGUACCAGAGUGGGCGCUUCCGUCGUCCUGCACCGCCGGGUAUGUGAGUAAUUUAAAUUAUGUAUACUACUUGUGUGCUUACUAUCUGGAGAGUCUUGAAGGAAUCAGACUGCUUGGACUGGAGGUAGGUUGUUGAGAGACACCAUGUGGGUGCUAGGAACUGAAUCUAGGUCCUCUGCAACAGCAGCAAGUAUUCAUAAACACUGAGCCAUCUCU